rnacentral:rRNA from 1 species
CAGGUCACUCCUACGGGAGGCAGCAGUGGGGAAUAUUGGACAAUGGGGGCAACCCUGAUCCAGCAAUGCCGCGUGAGUGAUGAAGGCCUUCGGGUUGUAAAGCUCUUUUGGCGGGGACGAUGAUGACGGUACCCGCAGAAUAAGCCCCGGCUAACUUCGUGCCAGCAGCCGCGGUAAUACGAAGGGGGCUAGCGUUGUUCGGAAUUACUGGGCGUAAAGGGCGCGUAGGCGGUCCUGAUCGUCGGAUGUGAAAGGCCUGGGCUCAACCUGGGAACUGCAUCCGAUACGGCGGGACUGGAGUGUGGGAGAGGUUGGUGGAAUUCCCAGUGUAGAGGUGAAAUUCGUAGAUAUUGGGAAGAACACCGGUGGCGAAGGCGGCCAACUGGACCACAACUGACGCUGAGGCGCGAAAGCGUGGGGAGCAAACAGGAUUAGAUACCCUGGUAGUCCACGCCGUAAACGAUGCGUGCUAGAC